AUUGAACGCUGGCGGCAGGCCUAACACAUGCAAGUCGAACGAGUGGCGGACGGGUGUGUAAUGUCUGGGAAACUGCCUGAUGGAGGGGGAUAACUACUGGAAACGGUAGCUAAUACCGCAUACCAUCGGAUGUGCCCAGAGGGGAUUAGCAAGUUGGUGGGGUAACGGCGCACAUAGGCGACGAUCCCUAGCUGGUCUGAGAGGAUGCCCAGCGACACUGGAACUAAGAAACGGUCCAGAAGCCUCCGAGAGGCAGCAGGGGGGAAUAUUGCACAAUGUGCGCAAGCCUGAUGCAGCCAUGCCGCGUGUAUGAAGAAGGCCUUCGGGUUGUAAAGCACUUUCAGCGAGGAGGCGUUACUCGCAGAAGAAGCACCGGCUAACUCCGUGCCAGCCGCCGCGGUAAUAC
rnacentral:rRNA from 1 species